AACAAAUAAAGUUUUUUGUUGCAAUUUGUAGUUAUUUAGUAUGCAUUCAGAUAUCUGGAGGUUGAGUUCUUGAAAGUAAUAGGAAAAAUGUAUAUGUGCUUUUGAAAACCACAAAACAUACCCGGCUAUGACGUAUUGACACAAAGUUUUUGAUGAAUGAUGCUGAAGUCACUGUCCUUGGCCAGAUAUGAAUGUGGGUCGUUCCGGUUACGUAGAACCAACUGUUGUGGGAACGAUAAGGUUAAAGUAAUUCAGAGCAGCUGUAGAUAUAAAAAAAUUGGCAACAACUAUUUCACUGUAUUUUAUUAGUCGAACUUAAAAUCAGAGCUUUGGCUUUGUAUUAAAUCAUAUUUAUGUGAUUUGAAAUUCUAAAAAUUGCUUUCCAGAUGCUUCACCAAUUGCAGGUUUUACAGGAUUUGCAGGAAAAGCUGUUUUCUCCAUUAAUAAACCUUAUGGAAGGUGGUCACCUGGAACGGCUUCCUGUAAAAACCUGCAAAUCGUGAAGCAUCUGGAACGCAACUAUUAAAGGCAGAGUUUUUUGGCAAUAGUUUCAAAACAGUCCCAUCAUAGAAAUCGAAACGAGCCUGCAUAGUCGUGAUCAUUAGAUGCAUUUUAUGCUUUAAUACAAAAAGAACGAUUUUAUUACAUCAUAUCUACAAUUAACAAUAAAUUAAAAGCAUUUCAUGGAAAUGUUUUCGAAUCGGAAGUUUUCGAUAUAUGUUUAUACAUAAGAUGGUCUCGACCUUUAAAACUCCACUCGUAAAGUGGUUACAAAGCUAACAUUAAGGGUCAGUUUUUCAGUGCACGGUUGUGCUAGUUUAAACUAAUUAGCCAAUCAAAUAUGAGCCAGCUCAUUAAAAAAUGCAGCUUACAUGAUCCAAGUUUAAGCUGACACUGAAAAACUUGCCCUAAAGCAAUGCUAUUUAAACUUAAAAUACUCUGUGCCCACUUGAUCCCCAGUGAAAAA